AAUGUAAUAUUAAUAAACUAAAGUAUUAAUAGUUAUAUUCUUUAAAUUUAAAAAAUUUGGCGGUAUUUUAAUUUAUUUAGAGGAAUCUGUUUUUUAAUCGAUAUUCCACGUUGAACCUUACUUAAUUUUUAUUUAUAUACCGUUGUUAUUAAAUAUUUUAUAAGAAAUUUAAUUUUUAAUUAAUUAUAUUAAAUGAUAUAUCAAAUCAAGGUGUAGUUUAUAAUUAAGGAGAUAAUGGAUUACAAUAAAAUUAUUUAUAUGAAUUUUAUUAUGAAAAAGUAAAUGAAGGUGGAUUUAAAAGUAAAAUUAUAUAGAUUAUUAAUUUGAUUAAGAUUAU
rnacentral:rRNA from 1 species